rnacentral:rRNA from 1 species
UGUCAGCAGCCGCGGUAAUACAUAGGGUGCAAGCGUUGUCCGGAAUUAUUGGGCGUAAAGAGCUCGUAGGUGGUUCGUCACGUCGGAUGUGAAAAUCUGGGGCUUAACCCCAGACCUGCAUUCGAUACGGGCGAGCUAGAGUGUGGUAGGGGAGACUGGAAUUCCUGGUGUAGCGGUGGAAUGCGCAGAUAUCAGGAGGAACACCAAUGGCGAAGGCAGGUCUCUGGGCCAUUACUGACACUGAGGAGCGAAAGCGUGGGGAGCGAACAGGAUUAGAUACCCUGGUAGUCCACGCCGUAAACGGUGGGCACUAGUUGUGGGAACCUUCCACGGUUUCUGCGACGCAGCUAACGCAUUAAGUGCCCCGCCUGGGGAGUACGAUCGCAAGAUUAAAACUCAAAUAAAUUGACGG